rnacentral:misc_RNA from 1 species
UGGGGACCGGCGAGACAGCCGCGGAUCUUCUUCCGCAGCGAGUCGCCGCCCCCCAAAUGACUUGGCGGCCUCGUCGCGGCCCUCCUCUGCGUAGUAUAGCACACCUCGCAACAGGAGCCCGGCGAAUGGCCACUGCCGUAAAACCCCCCAACUUUUUCAGAGUUGACCUCGAAUCAGGUAGGAAUACCCGCUGAACUUAA